rnacentral:lncRNA from 1 species
AUAACCGAGGCCUUGUCUGUGCAGCAGCACACCAGGCCCAGAUCCACAGCCCUGGACAGCUGUCCCACGCAAGCCCUUCCUUGGCAGAUUCCGACCACAACUUGAGCGCGCAGAGAAAAAUAAGACCCCAGCCCCAGACUCUCCCCAAACCAGCCCUGGGUCCCUCCCGGAGUUAGAGCUAGGGAGGCGAGGUGGUAGAGAUAGAAAAGUAGGCACAGAGAGACUGAAGAUGAAAGAAAAAUAAAGGGAAGGGAAGACAGAAGGAAGAAGUAAAGGAAGGGAAAAAACAAAAAAGCACAAAGAGGAAGGAAGCGAGGAAGAAAAGGAAGAGUCAAAGGCGACUCCUGGGAGCCGAGGGCAGCUUACAGAAAGAAGGGUAAGUGACAAGGCCAGGAUCCCAGCCCCUUUCCGCCCUGUCCCUCCUAGUUUGGCCUGAGUCUCUCUCAAAGGGAUCUUUCCUGAUCUCUACCCUGGAUUGGGACUGGUAGUAUCCCAGCCUUGCAGGAGAAUGGCAGGAUCCCUGGCCAGGCACAGGCCUGGAGUGGGGGGAGGCCCAGGAUGGAAGCGUGCGCCCCUGACCUUGAAUGGCUCAGGGCCCAGAAUUCCUACCACGCCCCCGGCGUCCGCCAAGAAGCAGCUAACCUGACCAUACCUGCUCGGGGCCAGGUGGGCACCGGGUGGGAGGUGAAGCCAGCAGCCUGACAAAGCUCUGAGAAGGAGGCAGGGACGCGGCUCCUGCACGGGGAAAAGCCGAGGUUGCCACCGCAGGCCUGGCACGACCAGGGCCUGGAUGCCCCGCCCGGCCCGGCCCCCGCGCGCACAGGUACCUGGAGACGAUUUCAACUGAAGUAAUGAAGGCAGUGUCGUGCUGUCGAGAGAAAGGUGGAUCCCAACAACAGGAAACUACCUAAAUCACCGACCAGUUCUGGUGCUGCCCGCGCGGGGCUGCCUCGCCCGCCGCUGCCGCCGCCACUGCCGCCGCCACUGCCGCCGCCAAAGGGAGAACCCUGCGAUCGCGCCCGGCCGACCCCCCCCCCCCCACUUGCCAACCUGCGCCUGCGCUGCCACUGUGUGAGCGGCGCUACCGCUAAGGCAUCACGGAGGGAGAAGCCACCGGCCCCGGUAAGGUAAACCUGGAAGAGGGAAGGAAGGAAGGUAAAGGAGAGAGAGGAAAAUGGAAGGAGAGGAGAAAGCGAGAAGAGAGGAGAGCGAGCAGUGUGCGUGCUCGUUUCCCAAAUCUUGCUUCUCAGCGAGCACGCGCCGAGCUGCGGCAGCCCCGAGCAACUCGAAAGCGCCAGGGUCGGCACGCAGCCCGGCUCCCAGUCUGGUCUCGGCCUCCGGCGGCUCGCUCCCCGCCACUCGCUCUCCCCCUCUCUCCCUCCCAGCCAGCCAGCCAGCCGGGGCGCGCGCUCCCGCGCCCCCUCCCCCUGCCGUCGCGCCCCCCCCCCACCUCCCGCGAGCAGGAAACGCGUGGCCCCGAGGAGGGCGACCAGGUGGGGGAGGCCAUGCUGGGGGAGGGGGCCAUGCAGCCAGCAGCAGUCUACCUAACUGCUGCCGCGGACGCUAGUGACGCGCUCUUGGCCCAGCCUGCUCCCCGGAUUCUUAGGCUGGGGGUCAUCUGGGACCAGGGGACCCACAAAACAACCGGCGUCUGCGAGCCUCCCUGGGGCUCCCGAAAGAAAUCCUGUUUGGCUUCCUCUGUCUAUGCAGCUCCCCUCUCAACUGAAACCACUGGUCCAAGACAGCCACAAUCCAGAUAUACUAGCAAGUCAUAAAACUGAACAAAAGCCGACAAACCUUACGGCACCAGGGCUAUAGGGCCCAGACAAAUUACGACCGUCUAGGUAAUAUUUAAAUAGAUGCCUAAAGUAAUUGCAGGGGGCGCGGGCUAGUCCUCCUGUUGUAAAAGUGGUGGCCGGGAUAAAGUGGAAGGUGAAGAUAAGAAGUCAAAAAAAGAGGUAAAAUUAAAAAGCUUCAUUCCACAGCUUUUAUUCUUCUAUAAGAACAUAAACAUCGUCUUUUUUCCACGCACAGCAGCAUUACAAUAUUAAUUUAUUCUGAUUUAAGAUUAGAAGUAAAUAGAGCUAGAACUAACAUUUAUAAUAACGAUAGAAUGCAUUUGCAUAAAACAAGAUUGGCAAUUUUUCAUAAUAAUAGACAUUUAUACAGAUUUGUAUUUAUAAUUUUUCUUUUUCUGCACCUACAGGUUUGACCCUUUUAUGCAUGUAACUUCACAGUAUAAAGGAAACCCAAACAAAGUCUCCCUUCUCUAGUCUAUUCCGCUUGCCCCAGCCCUCCUUGGGUUCUAUGAAUUUUAGAAAGGAAAAAGAAAGAGGAAGAAGAAAAAAGAAAAUGAGAAAGAAAACUCUCCACAAGACAGGGAGAAUUGCGGUGUGCUUGUCGUGUGUUACCAGUGGUAACAAUUACUUAAUGACAAAAAAAACCCCACUAAAUCCACACGCAUAAACAAAACUACCUUAGGUUAUUUAUCUACAGACAGAAGGAUAUGGAAAUUCAGAGGUAAGUGAAAUAAUUUAGUCCCACAAUGCAAGACUAACACAAACUGGAAGAGAAGUUUCCUUCUCCUGGUCGUUCUUUUUUUUUUUUUUUCUUUUUCUUUUUUUUUUCCUUUUAAAGCUGGGAUAUCUUGCAGAGGAAGGAAAGAUUAAUCUUUCUUACUCUCAAUUUUUUAAUCAGCCAAAGUCAAGCCCUUUUGCCAGCCUGCAUGUCCAUGCCUGUAAGCCCUUCUCUUUGCCAAGGAAG